GACGAACGCUGGCGGCGUGCUUAACACAUGCAAGUCGAACGAAGAGCGAUGGAAGCUUGCUUCUAUCAAUCUUAGUGGCAAACGGGUGAGUAACGCGUAAUCAACCUGCCCUUCAGAGGGGGACAACAGUUGGAAACGACUGCUAAUACCGCAUACGAUCUAAUCUCGGCAUCGAGGAUAGAUGAAAGGUGGCCUCUACAUGUAAGCUAUCACUGAAGGAGGGGAUUGCGUCUGAUUAGCUAGUUGGAGGGGUAACGGCCCACCAAGGCGAUGAUCAGUAGCCGGUCUGAGAGGAUGAACGGCCACAUUGGGACUGAGACACGGCCCAGACUCCUACGGGAGGCAGCAGUGGGGAAUCUUCCGCAAUGGACGAAAGUCUGACGGAGCAACGCCGCGUGAGCGAUGACGGCCUUCGGGUUGUAAAGCUCUGUUAAUCGGGACGAAAGGCCUUCUUGCGAAUAGUGAGAAGGAUUGACGGUACCGGAAGAGAAAGCCACGGCUAACUACGUG
rnacentral:rRNA from 1 species